rnacentral:rRNA from 1 species
UACGGAGGGUGCAAGCGUUGCUCGGAAUUAUUGGGCGUAAAGAGCUCGUAGGCGGUCUGUCGCGUCGGCUGUGAAAUCCCGAGGCUCAACCUCGGGUCUGCAGUCGAUACGGGCAAACUAGAGUAUUGCAGGGGAGACUGGAAUUCCUGGUGUAGCGGUGAAAUGCGCAGAUAUCAGGAGGAACACCGGUGGCGAAGGCGGGUCUCUGGGCAAUAACUGACGCUGAGGAGCGAAAGCGUGGGGAGCGAACAGG